rnacentral:tRNA from 1 species
GGCCUUAUAUUCAAUUAUGAUUCUAGACUGCAAUUCUAGGGGUGUAAGUAUUUACUAAGGCCU